AUUCUUCCCCAGCAUGCGUAGAUUUCCCAGAAUAGGGAUCCCUUUUGGACCUGGAGACAGCAGCUUCUUCCUCCUCGUAGCCAACGAAGCCAAAGAACCAGCCAAAAUGGCGACGACCGUAAGCCAUAACCAACUGUUGAACGUCUGAAGAAAAAUGCAACCGGAGGUUCUGGCUGUAUACAACAAGGCUCCAACCGUGACUCAUUCCUACUAUUUUUUAUUUUAAUCUACAAUAUUUUCGUGUAUUGUGAUUUAUACAACCGGAGGUUCCGGCUGUAUACACCAAGUAUUCCAUGGUUAGAGUGAAGUGUUUGUGAUGUA